rfam:Asian citrus Psyllid, Diaphorina citri - Florida Strain, whole genome shotgun sequence.
GCUCCCAUGGCGUAGUGGUCACUGCGCUCGCCUUGCACGCGGGAGACCCGGGUUCGAUUCCCGGUGGGGUCA